UACGUAGGGGGCAAGCGUUGUCCGGAAUUAUUGGGCGUAAAGAGCGUGUAGGCGGUCCGGUAAGUCAGCUGUGAAAGUCAAGGGCUCAACCCUUGAAUGCCGGUUGAUACUGUCGGGCUAGAGUCCGGAAGAGGCGAGUGGAAUUCCCGGUGUAGCGGUGAAAUGCGCAGAUAUCGGGAGGAACACCAAUGGCGAAGGCAGCUCGCUGGGACGGUACUGACGCUGAGACGCGAAAGCGUGGGGGAGCAAACAGG
rnacentral:rRNA from 1 species